rnacentral:misc_RNA from 1 species
AUAAAAUAAAAAAGAAGAAGAAGAAUGAAUGAAAGGAUGAAAAAAAAAAGUACAUAUCAAUGUUAAGAAGAAUUAAUAAAUGUUCAUUUCUUUUCAGAAAUCAUUUCCAAAUGUUCCUCUAAUUCUUCAUUUCCAUACAUCCUAAAGUGAAUUUUGUCUGCCAAGUAAAAAGCUAUCCAGAAUUGAUAAAGCCUAGACAAUCUCAAUAAAGGAAGAAAAUCAGCAACUAAGAACUCACUGGUUUAUCUUUCUUUCCAAAACUGUUAGUUAAAAAGAAAAUAACAAUUAAGGGCUUAUACAAUUUACCUGUUGUUUUAACGAUACAAUGGGAAUAAAAAAUGGACAAGAUGCAUGCCAAAAAUUAAUGGCUCCAUCACUAUGUCCAGUUAUGUACAGGUUUUUAAUCUUUGCAAACCCACUGAAGGGGACAGGAUUUGCGGGAGUUCCAUCUUUUGUGUUUGCUUCAAAAGGAAAAAGAGAUGGAGUGUUUUUGGAAAAGAGAAUGUAAUCCUUAUCUCCAAAACUCAACAUACAAGGGUUCUGAGUGAUGAAUUUUGCUACAGUUAUGCUUGAGUCAGCAAAUGGCAUCUUCACCAUGACCUGCUUUGGUAACGAGGGUGAACCCUUAGAUUGGGUUUGCAGAAGAUACUUUUCAAUCUGACAAUCAUCAUAAAGAUAAAUAUGCCCUGAUUUUCCAAGGACGAGAAACGAAUCCUGUUUAUGUUUGCCUUGAUCGCCAGAGUUUGAAAUGAUCUCCAUGUCAAUGCAAGGCUCAGACAAAUGAAGACCUAACUUGAUUGUGGGAGUUUCAGUAUGCUCAUUCAACAAGAUAACCUGCAACAAGUUGGUGGAUGCCAAGUCAGACGCACCCAUAAUAUAGAGUCGACUUGCUUUCCCAUCAGCCUGAAGCCAUUUUAGUGAUGCUAUAGGAAUUUUGUCAGAUUUAUAUCCCAGAUUGAGUUUAUAUAGAGGAGCACUCUGAGUGAUGCUGUCUGAUGUUAUUUCAGUACUUGAAUUAGGGGUAGCAGGAAUACUCCAGAUAAAAAUAUCCCCAUUACUAUACCCAACAGCAAGUUUACUUCCAAAAGGACAUGCCCAGCAUGCGGAAGUUACUUUCUUUGUUCCGUUAUAUUGUGAAUGCAACAAGCUUCCACCUGUUGUAAAAAUGGACUUGCUUUCUCGAAUUUCCCACAAUGUAAUUAGACCAUCUGUAAAUACUAUAAGAACCCUCUUACUUUCAGCUUUUGGUUGAGGUAGUAUGUGCAAUACAGCAGCAUUGCUAGGAGCUUCAGCUGGGUUCCCAUGAGAAGCAGAGAAAGGUAUAGUGUAUUUCAUUGGUUCUAUAUCACAUGUUUCUUCAUCAAGCUUCAAUGCUAAUAUAUUACCAACAGCAUCUCCAAGAUACAUGUAGGGACAAUGUUGCAUUACUGUAAAUGAGGUAAUGUCUUCUUUAAAAACAUGCACAUUACACAACAACUUCUUGUUCACGUCCCAAACCUCAAUGUGGUUCUUGGAAGUUACAUUUAGAAGGAUGCCUUUAUUCUGAAUGAACUGUAAAAACUUGCUUGGCGCUGCCUCAGGACAUUCAAGCAAAAUUUGAGUGUUGUCUUUCCCAAAUAAUUUGAUUCUUCCAUCUCGGGUAGAAAUAGCAAGAAUCUUUUGAACAGAGUCAUAAGCCAACAUGUUUGCUCCUGAUGGUAUCCCAUAAUGGAAUGUCAGGCGUGGCUCUACGUCGCUGGGUUUUAAACCUUCCGAAUUCCCCCCAGGCUUCUUUAAACUCGAAGCCUUCUCCACAAGCUUCUUUACAAACAUAUUCCAAUCUUCUUCCAAAAACUACUGCUGAAAUUGGAUUCACCGCCAGAAGGCAAACUACGCUGCAAAAGACGACGAGACAGAGAGAAGAAAGAGAAGGAAGAUGAAUUAGUUAAUUGUUAUGGAGUAGUUAGUGACUGUAAAGCGAGCAGUUUUCUCAUAUAGCAAAGAUCAAGGGCUUGGAUUAUGUAACGGUGAUCAGGUGAUCCAAUCAAGACAAAAUCGUUUUGACUAGCAUGAUAUGAUUUCAAAAACGACAAAAAUGGCAAAGCGAAACGCAGUUAAA